UGGACCGUUUCCAUGGUUUCUGAUCUGGAACACAAAGACAGGUUAGAGUGGACCGUUUCCAUGGUUUCUGACCUGGAACACAAAGACAGGUUAGAGUGGACCGUUUCCAUGGUUUCUGAUCUGGAACACAAAGACAGGUUAGAGUGGACCGUUUCCAUGGUUUCUGAUCUGGAACACAAAGACAGGUUAGAGUGGACCGUUUCCAUGGUUUCUGAUCUGGAACACAAAGACAGGUUAGAGUGGACCGUUUCCAUGGUUUCUGAUCUGGAACACAAAGACAGGUUAGAGUGGACCGUUUCCAUGGUUUCUGAUCUGGAACACAAAGACAGGUUAGAGUGGACCGUUUCCAUGGUUUCUGAUCUGGAACACAAAGACAGGUUAGAGUGGACCGUUUCCAUGGUUUCUGAUCUGGAACACAAAGACAGGUUAGAGUGGACCGUUUCCAUGGUUUCUGAUCUGGAACACAAAGACAGGUUAGAGUGGACCGUUUCCAUGGUUUCUGAUCUGGAACACAAAGACAGGUUAGAGUGGACCGUUUCCAUGGUUUCUGAUCUGGAACACAAAGACAGGUUAGAGUGGACCGUUUCCAUGGUUUCUGAUCUGGAACACAAAGACAGGUAAGAGCGUUUCCAUGGUUUCUGAUCUGGAACACAAAGACAGGUAAGAGUGCACUGUUUCCAUGGUUUCUGAUCUGGAACACAAAGACAGGUUAGAGUGGACUGUUUCCAUGGUUUCUGAUCUGGCUUUAUCCCGAGCUCUUGGGAGUAGAUGAUUCGGUAACAUUGUAUUUUAAAAGGUACACAUACUAGCCACUAAUUUAUAGUGUGUAUGUGUAUAUAAGUAGCGUCUAAAGGCCUUUAAUAGGUCUCGUGAACCAUAAUUAAGUGAUUUCCUAUUGAAACAUUAUAAGUUAUCAGAGUUUGACAUGAAUGUUGUCUGUAGGGAGAGGUAUGUAUACCCCUUAAUGUCCAACAAGGUCAUAUCUGGACAGUUUGGUAGAAAUAUGGUACGGUAAUAUGGAGAAAAAUAAUGUACUUUUUACUCCAUACAUAUAUCCCUGACACCCAAAAGUACUCGAUACAUUUUGAAAGGAAAAUGGUCCAAUUGUACACAAUUAUCAUGAGAACAUCCCUGGUCAUCCCUACUGUCUCUGAUCUGGAGGACUCACUAAACAGAGAACAUCCCUGGUCAUCCCUACUGCCUCUGAUCUGGAGGACUCACUAAACAGAGAACAUCCCUGGUCCUCCCUACUGUCUCUGAUCUGGAAGACUCACUAAACACAGAACAUCCCUGGUCCUCCCUACUGCCUCUGAUCUGGAAGACUCACUAAACACAGAACAUCCCUGGUCCUCCCUACUGCCUCUGAUCUGGAAGACUCACUAAACACAGAACAUCCCUGGUCCUCCCUACUGCCUCUGAUCUGGAAGACUCACUAAACAGAGAACAUCCCUGGUCAUCACUACUGUCUCUGAUCUGGAGGACUCACUAAACAGAGAACAUCCCUGGUCAUCCCUACUGCCUCUGAUCUGGAAGACUCACUAAACAGAGAACAUCCCUGGUCAUCCCUACUGUCUCUGAUCUGGAGGACUCACUAAACAGAGAACAUCCCUGGUCAUCCCUACUGCCUCUGAUCUGGAGGACUCACUAAACAGAGAACAUCCCUGGUCAUCCCUACUGCCUCUGAUCUGGAGGACUCACUAAACAGAGAACAUCCCUGGUCAUCCCUACUGCCUCUGAUCUGGAGGACUCACUAAACAGAGAACAUCCCUGGUCAUCCCUACUGUCUCUGAUCUGGAGGACUCACUAAACACAGAACAUCCCUGGUCAUCCCUACUGUCUCUGAUCUGGAGGACUCACUAAACAGAGAACAUCCCUGGUCAUCCCUACUGCCUCUGAUCUGGAAGACUCACUAAACACAAAUGCAAUGUUGGUAAAUGAUGUCUGAGUGAUGGAGUGUUCCCCUGGCUAUCUGUAAAUGAUGUCUGAGUGAUGGAGUGUUCCCCUGGCUAUCUGUAAAUGAUGUCUGAGUGUUGGAGUGUUCCCCUGGCUAUCUGUAAAUGAUGUCUGAGUGUUCCCCUGGCUAUCUGUAAAUUAUGUCUGAGUGUUGGAGUGUUCGCCUGGCUAUCUGUAAUGAUAUCUGAGUGUUCCCCUGGCUAUCUGUAAAUUAUGUCUGAGUGAUGGAGUGUUCCCCUGGCUAUCUGUAAUGAUGUCUGAGUGUUGGAGUGUUCCCCUGGCAAUCUGUAAUGAUGUCUGAGUGUAGGAGUGUUCCCCUGGCUAUCUGUAAUGAUGUCUGAGUGUUGGAGUGUUCCCCUGGCAAUCUGUAAUGAUGUCUGAGUGUAGGAGUGUUCCCCUGGCUAUCUGUAAUGAUAUCUGAGUGUUGGAGUGUUCCCCUGGCAAUCUGUAAUGAUGUCUGAGUGUAGGAGUGUUCUUCUGGCUAUCUGUAAAUGAUGUCUGAGUGUUGGAGUGGGCCCCUGGCUAUUUGUAAUGAUAUCUGAGUGUCGGAGUGGGCCCCUGGCUAUCUGUAAUGAUAUCUGAGUGUCGGAGUGGGCCCCUGGCUAUCUGUAAUGAUAUCUGAGUGUCGGAGUGUACCCCUGGCUAUCUGUAAUGAUAUCUGAGUGUCGGAGUGUUCCCCUGGCUAUCUAACAAUAAUAAUAACAACAUUGUGCUGUCUGCUUUGCUUAAUAUCAGGAAGUUGAAAUGACUUAUACAUUUACUGUGGAUACUUAAGUAUAUUUAAAACCAAAAUACUUUUAGACUUUUACUCAAGUAGUAUUUUACUGAGUGACUUUCACUUUUACAUGAGUCAUUGUCUAUAAAGGCAUCUUUACUUUUACUACAGUAUAAGAAUUGGAUACUUUCUCCUCCACUGAAUCUCCCUAGUAAAAGGGCCUAUAAGAGACUUAUAAGCACACUGACGAACUACAAAUUAGUGUUACUGAAGAUUCUGAGUUCAGUCAAGAUCGGACUAAUUAUCUAGCUAGCUCGAUUGUGUUUUCUGCCCCUCGGGGAAGUGC